rnacentral:misc_RNA from 1 species
UCCCCGUUACCGGGGCAGUCUGGCUAGAAAAAUUCAACUAACCAUAAGGGUUGCGCUCGUUGAUGGACUUAACCAAACAUCUCACGACACGAGCUGAAGACGGCCAUGCAACACCUGUCAUUGGGCUCCCGAAGGCACUCUCGGCUUUCACCAAAAUUCCCAAGAUGUCAAACCCUGGUAAGGUUCUACGCUUAACAUCGUAUUAAACAACACGCUCCACCGCUUGUGCGGGUCCCCGUCAAUUCCUUUGAGUUUUAAACUUGCGUUCGUACUACCCAGGCGGGAUGCUUAACGCGUUAGCUUCGCAACAAACCGGGUCGAUACGGCUUACUGCUAGCAUCCAUAGUUUACAGCGUGGACUAC